AACUCAAAUGAAUUGACGGGGGCCCGCACAAGCGGUGGAGCAUGUGGUUUAAUUCGAUGCAACGCGAAGAACCUUACCUGGUCUUGACAUCCACGGAAGUUUUCAGAGAUGAGAAUGUGCCUUCGGGAACCGUGAGACAGGUGCUGCAUGGCUGUCGUCAGCUCGUGUUGUGAAAUGUUGGGUUAAGUCCCGCAACGAGCGCAACCCUUAUCCUUUGUUGCCAGCGGUCCGGCCGGGAACUCAAAGGAGACUGCCAGUGAUAAACUGGAGGAAGGUGGGGAUGACGUCAAGUCAUCAUGGCCCUUACGACCAGGGCUACACACGUGCUACAAUGGCGCAUACAAAGAGAAGCGACCUCGCGAGAGCAAGCGGACCUCAUAAAGUGCGUCGUAGUCCGGAUUGGAGUCUGCAACUCGACUCCAUGAAGUCGGAAUCGCUAGUAAUCGUGGAUCAGAAUGCCACGGUGAAUACGUUCCCGGGCCUUGUACACACCGCCCGUCACACCAUGGGAGUGGGUUGCAAAAGAAGUAGGUAGCUUAACCUUCGGGAGGGCGCUUACCACUUUGUGAUUCAUGACUGGGGUGAAGUCGUAACAAGGUAACCGUAGGGGAACCUGCGGUUGGAUCACCUCCUU
rnacentral:rRNA from 1 species